UGGUUCUAUUGGUGUUACUGGUUCUGCUGGUGAGACGAUGUGUUCACAGGAAACCUGAAGACCAAGAAACUGAAGAAAAUGACACCAUCACUCAUGUCAUGUACUCCUAUUUCAAAACAUCAAUUCAUCAACAACAGCCAGUCAGACGAAACAUUGACAAAGAUUCAGCUGCAGUCAACUCAGCUGUGAGAACUGAAGAUGUCAGUUAUGGACAAACAGCCAUCAGACCAUGAAGGCCCAGAUACAGCUGCUCUUGAUCUUUGGAUGCAGUCAAGCUAGUUGCUCACCCUGUUUCUAAUCAUCGUGCUAAGCUAAGCUAACCACGUGACCAUCAUGACUCAAGCUCAGCGUUAUGAAGGAUAUCAAACUUCUCGUACACGUCUGAAGUUGCUGAAACUAAAUCUUGAUUAUGGGAAAGGUUUGUUGAGGCCAUGGAAAAAGGCGUUCAGUUGGCAAUUCUGUCAAGCAGCUCCUUGUGCUGCUGACGUCAACUGAAGAGAAAAUCUUGAAAUCUUCUUGAAAUUGUUACAGUGUAUGUUAUUUCACAUCAGAUUUAUGAAAAGAAAAACACAUUACCCCCAUUUCCAAAAAAGAAAACAAAAUGAAAACCCAACAACAAAACAUAAUAGAAACUGUCUCUAAACUUUAUGGUACCUUCAUCUUAAUGGAGAGAGACAGUUUUCCAUUAACAUGAAAACUGCUGUUCGGAGAGUCAGAGAAAUCUUUGAAAAGCAGCAAAUGUUUGACUUUUUAAUGUCACUUAAUACAAUUAAAGAGCAAAUUGUUUUACAUUUUUGAGCUCAAGGUUUGACUUCAGUGAACAACCAUCGGCAGUAGCUGAGCUGGUUCCCAGUAAAGUCUGAAAUGGGACUGUGUGUAAUGCAGAGAGGUGGAGGUUGGAGAUCUUUAUUGAACUACAAAGCUUGUAAUCAUGUUUCCUGUUGUUUGAACUGUGUGUGUUUGUGUUCAGACUUUAAACUAGAGCCAGACGUAGUCUACUCUUCACUGAAGUAGUCCACCAGUCCAACCAAUGACAUGCAGCUGCUGGUCUCUAACUGGUCCCCCCAGCACCUCAGACCAGAGGACAUCCACAUGUUUCAUAUAUGUAUAUAUAUAAUUUCUCUGCAAGAUUAAUAAACUCUAGGAUUCACUCUAUUUUUAAUACCAUAAAACAUAGACUCAAGGUUAAGCUUCAACUGGCAGAUUAUAAACAGCAGGGAUGAAAAACACACAGUAAAACUUUAGUUCAUGCCAUGUAUUGUAUAUUGUUUUUUCAACUGUACUUAAUCAAGAACAUAUGAGCAUAAAGGAGGUUCAACCUGA